UACGUAGGGUGCAAGCGUUGUCCGGAAUUAUUGGGCGUAAAGAGCUCGUAGGCGGUUUGUCGCGUCUGCUGUGAAAUCCCAGGGCUUAACCCUGGGCCUGCAGUGGGUACGGGCAAACUAGAGUGCGGUAGGGGAGAUCGGAAUUCCUGGUGUAGCGGUGAAAUGCGUAGAGAUCGGGAGGAACACCAGUGGCGAAGGCGGCCUUCUGGACCAGUACUGACGCUCAUGCACGAAAGCGUGGGGAGCAAACAGG
rnacentral:rRNA from 1 species